GUGUGUGUACUAUAAUAGGAGAGAAUCAUUGGAAAGGAAACUAAUUUCCACCAUUUUGAUUAUAUUUCCUUAUUCUCUCCCCCAGAGAAAUGCCGUUUUAAUUCUUCCUUCUAAAAUAAAGGUAGAAAAAGCCACAACAAUCCCUACACUUUUUUUUUUUGUGGUGGUUGUUAAAGAAACAGCCAAAAUCCUGAGAAGACACUGUUUGUCUACACAUAUUACCAAUCUUAUUUAGCACUGAGGGCGCCGUUUUCCAAAUAUUACUAACAUCAGCCCUCGCUCCGCUGCGGCCGACACUCACCACCAUCCAUUUUUUAAAAUCCUUUUACGUCGAUCCUUUCAUCCAAACCCAUAAACAACCAUUUCCUCCCUGCAACAGUGGUUUGAAUGGCCCGAAACGUUCAGCCAUGCAAGGGCUGAGUCGUGCAAACCCGGAGACUGCAGACUGCGGUGAUGGGCAGGGCCACUCCUCCCGCUGCACACGACAGCUGUCCUCAUCUACGGUGUGAUUUAAGAGGGUUCAGGACCCCGAUAAGACCCUGCCCUCGAAGCCAAGACCCUCGAACGGGAGGACAGAGGCGGCCUCAACCCAGCCAGCCAGAGCCAAGCCUUUGGAAAACUGGCUUCUCUCCAGCGGCCAGGAGUGGCCCAGGCUGGGCGCGCGGAGCCGCUCCCAGAAAGAAGAACAACAAAAAAAAGAAAUCUUUUCCUGCAGAUGUGUACCUGAGAUGUUUACUAGGAGUGGCAAAAGUCAGAACGGAUGUUAUUUUAAAUAGGGUGAUUGAAAGAGCUAGCGGGGUGACAGACUGUGAACUCACUCCAGAACUCCUGACUCUGAAGUGGCAAAUUGGAAUCUCCCUGCAUGGAGAAUCCAAGCCCUGGUUCCAGAGCUGACAUCUCUGAGCCUUGGUUCUUCAUCUGGGAAACAGAGACAAUAAAGCUUCUGGGCUUCGCUCACAGGAGCCAGCAGGUAACCUAAACGACAGGGUAAAAUUCUCCCUCAGUCAUCACACAGUACUACCCUCUGCUCUGUAUUCUUUAUUUGCAUAUACGUUUGAUAAAGGCCAGACCGCGCAAAGAGCUCUCAUGAAUUUUCAUUGAAUUCUCACUACAGCCCCACGAGGUCGGUGCUAUUAUUACUCCAUUUUCCUAGGACGCAGAGAAGUCAAGUUACUUGCCCAAGGUCACACGGCUCUAAGGGCAGACCCCAGUCUCACGCUCCGAUUUCCUGGUACCCAGAGGAGAACGUCCACCGCCAAGACGCAGCCGCAGUGCCCUGACCUAAGGAGAGGCUUAGCUGUGUGAACAGCUUUCUGGGAGCGUAUCAACAACGAGGACCAGAAUCCCUUGGGAGUCUAGACCCUAGCGGGUCCACCUUCCGACGCUCCGCCCAGCCUGAGGGCGGGGCGGGGCUGUGGCCGCAGGAUGCUCUAGGCUGGUCUACCGCCCCGCCCGCCUGGUGCGCAGGUGCUCCUGGUACUGCGCAUGCGCGGCCUGCAGACUGUGGCGCACUGGGGGUAGGAAGACUCCUACGAUUCACGCACCGGUCACGUGACUGCUUGGCCACUGCGUUAGGAACCGCGCAGGUGGAGAAACGGAUGCAGAGACCAGCGGGGAGAAGCAGGGAAAAUGAAAAAAUAAUUGUCUUCGCUGCAGCCACCUCUGCCACCCCACCUUCCUACAAAGAGCAGCUGGACGGGAAUGUUUGAGUUUGGUACAUCCUCCUCUCCAAGAAUGGUUGAGCAAAGAAAAUUUAAGUGUGGUGUGCGUGUGAUCCAGAGAUGCAGGGCCACUACAGUGAUGUAAAGGAUUGGUAACAGGGACCAGACCUCAUGCAGUCGUGGGUGCUGGUGAAACGGAAUGUUCAAGGCCUUGACACCUGCUGGUGACUGGAAAGGAGAGAUGGAUGUAUCAUGGGGAGAGCAAGGACAAACUGGGACAUCUGUGUCCCUCACCCUCUCCAACUUCAGUGAGACAGCUGACCUGCAAGAGAACUGGUGUCCUUUGCAGAGCUGUACACACACAUAGCUGGCCCAGGACUCAGAAGCUAGUCUCCUAGCAGGAACCAGAGAAGUCACAGGCCCUGGUGCUGCCCAAACCAACAAGGCAAGUUAGCAGUCCAGUGACAACCACGUGCCAGCUACAGCAGGGCCUGAGGCCCUCCGCCCAAGCACAAAGCAUAAAAAACGGCUGCUCCUUCUAGACCUUGAGCACAUUUAUUUUGUGGCCAACCCAACUUGGAAUCACACAGGAAAGAGAAUUCUAGGAAACUAGGUUC